rnacentral:tRNA from 2 species
CGGGGUGUAGCUCAGUUUGGCUAGAGCGCCUGCUUUGGGAGCAGGAGGUCGCUGGUUCAAGUCCAGUCACCCCGA